rnacentral:tRNA from 1 species
CAAAGAAUAGUUUAACUUAGAGCUCUAGCUUUGGGAGCUAGGGGUGGGGGUUAAACUCCCCCUUCUUUGA